AGCAAUCCAAAACUUCCAAAAUCCAUUCUUUUUAACAUUAUAUCCUUCUUCUUCUUCUUAUUCCGCUGUCUGCUUCAAAAUAUCAAGUGUAAAAGCAUCUUUUAAGAGAUUAGAAUGUGUGAACAGUUCAGAGAAAUUGGGUAAUGCUGGUUUUGACUAGGAAGAUUACAAGAUCCAUGAGGUUAAAAGGGAAAAACUUGUAGUUUUCGUCUCCGGCGGAGGUUCAAACUUUAAGUCAAUUCAUCAAGCUUGCCUUCAGGGAUCAGCCCAUGGGUCACGUUGUCCCUGUGCUUGCAAAUGACACUGCAGAGGAGUUGGCCACAGGGGUUCUUAGAUAGCAUCAGUUGUACGUCGAGAACAUUAUGCGAAGGGCAAACAAUUUGGAGGGAAGAUGGUGUCCCUCUCAUCCGGAGUUACUUCCAAGUGGAGUCAUUGCACAACAAAUUCUUAAAUAAUAUAAUCACACAGCUAAGUCAGCUAACUUUCCAUCAAAGUGCGUGAACACUUAAUUGGACUGUUGUGAAGUAAAUAUCAGGGAGAAAUUGCGCACUUCUAGGAUUUCUCCUUGAUAUUUACUUCACAGCAGUGCGCAAUUGCAGUUAAAUUGCAAUUUCACUAGUUGAGAACUUUGCAUGUGUAAUAGAUCUAAAUCCAAAACCAAUAUUUGCCUA